rnacentral:rRNA from 1 species
UUAACACUGAGGCGUGACGACGAGGCACUACGGUGCUGAAGCAACAAAUGCCCUGCUUCCAGGAAAAGCCUCUAAGCAUCAGGUAACACGAAAUCGUACCCCAAACCGACACAGGUGGUCAGGUAGAGAAUACCAAGGCGCUUGAGAGAACUCGGGUGAAGGAACUAGGCAAAAUGGUGCCGUAACUUCGGGAGAAGGCACGCUGACACGUAGGUGAAGUGAUUUACUCAUGGAGCUGAAGUCAGUCGAAGAUACCAGCUGGCUGCAACUGUUUAUUAAAAACACAGCACUGUGCAAACACGAAAGUGGACGUAUACGGUGUGACGCCUGCCCGGUGCCGGAAGGUUAAUUGAUGGGGUCAGCGCAAGCGAAGCUCCUGAUCGAAGCCCCGGUAAACGGCGGCCGUAACUAUAACGGUCCUAAGGUAGCGAAAUUCCUUGUCGGGUAAGUUCCGACCUGCACGAAUGGCGUAAUGAUGGCCAGGCUGUCUCCACCCGAGACUCAGUGAAAUUGAACUCGCUGUGAAGAUGCAGUGUACCCGCGGCAAGACGGAAAGACCCCGUGAACCUUUACUAUAGCUUGACACUGAACAUUGAGCCUUGAUGUGUAGGAUAGGUGGGAGGCUUUGAAGUGUGGACGCCAGUCUGCAUGGAGCCGACCUUGAAAUACCACCCUUUAAUGUUUGAUGUUCUAACGUGGACCCGUAAUCCGGGUUGCGGACAGUGUCUGGUGGGUAGUUUGACUGGGGCGGUCUCCUCCUAAAGAGUAACGGAGGAGCACGAAGGUUGGCUAAUCCUGGUCGGACAUCAGGAGGUUAGUGCAAUGGCAUAAGCCAGCUUGACUGCGAGCGUGACGGCGCGAGCAGGUGCGAAAGCAGGUCAUAGUGAUCCGGUGGUUCUGAAUGGAAGGGCCAUCGCUCAACGGAUAAAAGGUACUCCGGGGAUAACAGGCUGAUACCGCCCAAGAGUUCAUAUCGACGGCGGUGUUUGGCACCUCGAUGUCGGCUCAUCACAUCCUGGGGCUGAAGUAGGUCCCAAGGGUAUGGCUGUUCGCCAUUUAAAGUGGUACGCGAGCUGGGUUUAGAACGUCGUGAGACAGUUCGGUCCCUAUCUGCCGUGGGCGCUGGAGAACUGAGGGGGGCUGCUCCUAGUACGAGAGGACCGGAGUGGACGCAUCACUGGUGUUCGGGUUGUCAUGCCAAUGGCACUGCCCGGUAGCUAAAUGCGGAAGAGAUAAGUGCUGAAAGCAUCUAAGCACGAAACUUGCCCCGAGAUGAGUUCUCCCUGAGACUUAGAGUCUCCUGAAGGAACGUUGAAGACGACGACGUUGA